GUGGGGAAUAUUGGACAAUGGGCGCAAGCCUGAUCCAGCCAUGCCGCGUGAGUGAUGAAGGCCCUAGGGUUGUAAAGCUCUUUCACCGGAGAAGAUAAUGACGGUAUCCGGAGAAGAAGCCCCGGCUAACUUCGUGCCAGCAGCCGCGGUAAUACGAAGGGGGCUAGCGUUGUUCGGAAUUACUGGGCGUAAAGCGCACGUAGGCGGAUAUUUAAGUCAGGGGUGAAAUCCCGGAGCUCAACUCCGGAACUGCCUUUGAUACUGGGUAUCUCGAGUAUGGAAGAGGUGAGUGGAAUUCCGAGUGUAGAGGUGAAAUUCGUAGAUAUUCGGAGGAACACCAGUGGCGAAGGCGGCUCACUGGUCCAUUACUGACGCUGAGGUGCGAAAGCGUGGGGAGCAAACAGGAUUAGAUACCCAUGUAGUCC
rnacentral:rRNA from 1 species